UUCUCAUCUUUUAAUGCUCAUUUCUUUUGUCAUUCGAAUGUAACUAUUUAAUUAUAUUAAAUUUAUAUUCUCUUCCAUCAAUCGAAAAUCGAACAGAAUAAAAUAAUAAUGUAAAUUGAAAAAUCAAAUCAUACCCCUGCGGAUACUACAUACUAGUCAAAAGUUAUAGUGAAGAACAACAUACACACUUGAGAUCGAGGUAAAGUUACGCAUAAUUUUUCUAAACUUCUUUUCCAUUUUUCGUCAACUUACACAUAGGGGACAAUAAAGAGUAGAUGAACGACAAAAUUACAAGGUAGAGAAUCAGAACCUCUUCAAUUUUAAGAUGAAUGUUUAGUUAACCAACCAUCCGAACUACUAAUAUUUCCUUAUUCAUCUGAACAUAAUUAAUCACUCCAUGUUAAAAUCAACAUCGUAUGUCUUUCUGGAACAAAUUUCCCCCGCUUAGUAUAGUUUCAAAAAUUUCCUAGCAAUGUUGCCAUUAGCACCAUGAGGAAAGAACCCACCACGAGCAUGCUCAUUGCCAGUGUUAUACACAAUCCUUAAUAUCUCAGCCGGAGUCCGCCGCUGAGAGAGCGAAUCGAUAUCGGCCGAUAAUAUGUUAGUUGUUGUCAGAUUCUCAGCACCAAGUUGCCAUGGCACGAACAAGCCUUCCUCUUUAGUACCACACAUUGCCAAACGGUUUCUUAAAUUGGAAAUGUGGAUAGUGAACUCUGCCACAGUGUGUUUGUAGGGGUAUACUACUUUUCCAGCUCUCUCGUAAAGGUACAUUCUGAUAAUUGCAUCUUGCCCUGAUUCAACCCCUAAUAGUCCUGCCAAAAGCUACAAAGACAAAUACAAAAUUUGAAUUACUAAUAUCAAAUGAAUUGUCAUGGUUUGCUUUUUGUGAGUCACAAACUAUGUGAAUUUUGAUCGAUAUUUUAAAGUAUAUUUUCUCAUCAAAAUGACGUAAGAAAAAGUUGCAAGUGUAUAGUUUUUUAAUAUCUAAAUUUUAAUCGCAAAAUAGUGAGUUGAUCUAAUCUAAUUUAGUUUUAAAAAUCAGUCAAAUGAAGAUUAAUUUGGGACCAGGGGAGUAUCAAGUAUGUUGCUAAUUUCGGGCAGAGCGAUAUAUGGUCAGUCGAGCAUCACUGAUCAGAAAAUUAUACUGUGCUUACAAGUCAUUAGGUUUUACUAAAUCUUGAAUACUCUCUGAAAAUUUGAGGAUUCUCCACAGAUACUUACCCUUUUUGUUUCAUAGCCUUUGAUGAGGGGAUUCAUACCAACAUAGCCAACCAAUGCAGCAUAUGGCAAUGCAUAACAAGACAACAUGAAAUUGAGACUAUCCCUAUAAGGAUCAAAUGGGGGUUCCAAUUUGUAACCAAAUGCUUCAUCAAAUAGCUUUGCAAAGUGAUUAGCACUUAGAUCCAUCAAAGGUCUUGGGAAACCACCCAUUUUCGAUUUAAGUGCCCUACAAAAAAGGACCAAAAAAGAUCAAAUUAGUAAUACUUUACCGUACCAAUAUAUCUUUUAGUUAUCUUUUUGUCUAUACAUUAUCAGUGUAUACAAGUUAAAUUCGGAUAAGAAUGGACCUUAGAUGACCAACUUCUUGCAUAGCAAACUCAGUGAUGAUGUUUCUUGUAAAAAGAUCAAGAUUUGCUCUGUGGACACCAAUUGGAGGAGGCCCUCCCAUGACUAAUUCUGGUGCUACAAUAUCAAGGCCAUAACCAUGUGUAGCCCACAAGUAAUACUCAGCUUCCAAAAACUCCAAGUUCUCAGAGAAUUGCAACAAGUCAAUAUCUUUUUUGUAUACUGGGAGUCCAUACUGUGGAAUCCUUGUUGGACAAAGAAAAUCUUGAGAAUGGGAGAUGCACAUCAGCAUGCUUGCCAUCAAAAUCAUGAAAAUUAAAAAAUAGGGAGGUGAAGUAAUUGAUAUUGUAGGCAUUUUUGGUGUUCUUUUUUUGUUGUUGGUGGUUAAUUAAGUUGUAAGGAAGAUUAAGAGAGGAGUUUAUAUAUAGGGAUAUUGGAUACUAUGAAUUAUGACAUACUUAAUUAGUACCAAGUUUUAGUCAAUGUAAUUUGAAUUUCAUUCAGUGAACACCUAAUUAGUGGCUAACCAGAACAGUGUCAACUUUAUAUGCAUGCCUUAGCUAGACUCUACCUUCCUCCAACCUAUAAUCAUAAAUAAGAAGAUAUACCAAUAAAAAUAGAAAAAAAGAAAAUAGAAACCAGAAAAGGAACAAGAAGAGAAAUUAAGACUGGAAUUGUGUUAAUGAGUAAUGACAUGAGCUAGAUUUUCUAGGUUUCGAGUCAGAUAUUUUAAUAAGGUGAUUAAAAAAAUAUUAAGUGAUCAAUUUCUUUCUUUUUUUUUUUAAAGGAAUUUCUACGUGUUAUAUUUACCUAAUUUAUUCAACUUAUGUACACGGCAUAAUUUCGCCACUAGCUGGUCUACACUAACAACAACAACAACAAACCCAGUGUAUUCCCACCUAGUGGGGUCUCUAGCUGGUCUACACUGAGUUCACAAAAUUGACACACAUACACACAAAUGCGAUUCAGAAGAAUACCUUUUUUAAAAAAAUGAAAAGGUAAGAUGAUCUAAGCCAAAGUAAUUAAUCAAAACAUGUUUAGGAAAUUAAAUAGAACACUAUUUCUUAUAACUUUUUUUUUUUUGAAAUUCAGAUUUUAUAUAAAACUGUGUAGUCUAAACAAUUACGUAGUAUUUGAUUCCUGUUAAAUUUAAACUCAUCAUAUUUAUCCACAUGAAUUAAAAAUCUCUCAAUUUUCAUCUUGCAAUUCAUGAGUUAGAGUAUUAAAUUAAAGAGAUUAUUCUGUUGAUCAAUCACUCUAAUUAGCGUAUAUGUAUCUUCUUGAUCAUUACACUUAUUUUAAGAAUUCUAUUUGUACACAAACUUCACUUCUGAUUAACAUGAACAAAAGAAAAUUAGUAGUCGAUAAACUUGGAAACUCUCCAAAGCCAAUUGAAACUCUUGCUUGACAACCCUAUAAAAUUCCACUGCACCAGCUUUUAUAUUUCAUCUUAAUUAAGAGAGUUGCUACAACAAUUUCUUUACUACUAUUAACCAUGGCAAAAAAAAAUUGUGUUGUUACUUUUCUCAUUUGCAUUUUCCUACUUGUCAACUUAGCUUUUGCAGCUGAAAAAUCUGAUUCAUUCUCAGAUGUUGAAAGUGCUACUACACAAGCUAAGGAAUUAGAUUGGUUCUAUCUGCCAUGGUAUCAUUCAUGGUUCCAGUCUCAUCCAUGGCCAUUCGUUCAUCCUCCAAUGCCUGCUGGUGGUUUCCGUUCUCAUCCAUGGUCAUUUGUUCAUCCUCCAAUGUCUGCUGGUGGUUUUCAUCCUAGGUUUCCUUAUCCAUGGGCUCACCGUUAUCCAGUCCCCUCUCCACGUAAAGACAACACAGGAAAGAAUUAAGAAGAUUCAUUAAUGAAGAGAAGUGGUGGAUCAAUGUCUUAUAAUCAAAUAUUUGUUUUGAAUUAAUUAGUAUUUUUAAGAUUCAUUGUUCAAGGCUAGUUAUUUUCAUUUGUAUGAAUUUCCAUUUUCCGUUCAUAUAGGAAUAUUGUUUGAUUAGGCUUAUCAUGAAAUAAACUUGAAUUUUUGUUUUUAAUUAUACAUAUUUACAUAUAAGCUAGUUGAUGGCUCUCUAGUCUCUACGACUUAAUUUGAAAAUGCAAACAAUUUCUAGUUACACGUUUCUUGCUUUUUCAUGCUGUUAUUAUUGAAUUAGUUCCACAAACAUCAUUAUAAUUUAUAUUUUAUAGUGAAUUAGUGGACACUUUAAUUUCUUAUUUCUU
rnacentral:lncRNA from 1 species